AGUGACAAUGUGUUGGGAGAGAGUUAGACUGAAGAUCUAAAAGUCCCUGGUUCGAUCCCAGGUUUCGCCA
rnacentral:tRNA from 1 species